UUUUUAAAUUUCCACAACUCACUCAAAAACGGAUAGUUUACGACAAAAAUCGAUUUUGCGGUUUCAACGAUUUUCUAAGUAGCCGGAAUGUAUUUCAUCGAGUCGGUGAGUUCAAUUCCAAUACAAAUUUUGUUUCCUAUAUGGUUUCAAUAAUUUCAACGUAAAGUGAAUAGCUUCAAGUUGCAGUCGUCAUGGUCAUAAAAUAUAAUGGAUUUAUAUACUUACAUACAUAUGUAUAUUUUAAUAAACAAUCCGUAAAUAUAACGAUACCGACAAUCGAAAGUGUGCAAAACUAUGUACAUACAUACAUACAUACAUAUAUAUGUAUGUCAUCAGCUCUGUUGACUUGACAGCCAACUUGAACCACGACUUGAAUUGAAAAAUUUAUAUUGUGGUAAGUGUGAGUGUAUUGGAACCUGAAAACAACUUCUUGAUCGUGUAACGUCCGGGAUAGGCGUAAUUCUAUAUAAACAAUUGAGGCACUUCACCAUCUUACCCAUACAUGCAGACAUAGGCCGCUUUCGACAAUGCAAACUGCAACUUUUGAAAAUUAGCUGUGUUAGCUGAAAUAUCAUUGCAAGUGAUUUAUGUUAAAAAUAAUUUUAAUAUUCAGCAUUAUCGCAAACUUCGCGUUAAUGCCAUUUCCCUUGGCUGAUAACCAGAAAUUGAAAAACCGGAGCAUAAAGUUAUAUCAAACAGAGGAAGACGGGUUAUGUCUGCGCAGACCCGAUGAAGUGCGUGAGCUAUUUUAGCUUCUUCAUCCUAGUGGAUAGGACCUUCUCAGAUGGCCACGGAAAAUGUCAACGAGGAAGCUCAAAACGUUUUAACUAACCAAAUGUAACAGCCCAGAUGGAAUAAAUAUGUUGAUGUUAAAUCAUCAUCUCGAUUAUGCAA